rnacentral:sRNA from 1 species
AAACCCCGGACUGGGAUCAUGGCAGCCGAGACUUGGAACGUGGCCGGAGCAGAGGCCCCGCCGCCCCAGAAGCGCUACUACCGGCAACGUGCUCACUCCAACCCCAUGGCGGACCACACGCUGCGCUACCCUGUGAAGCCAGAGGAGAUGGACUGGUCUGAGCUAUACCCAGAGUUCUUCGCUCCACUCACUCAAAAUCAGAGCCACGAUGACCCAAAGGAUAAGAAUGAAAAGAGAGCUCAGGCCCAAGUGGAGUUUGCAGACAUAGGCUGUGGCUAUGGUGGCCUGUUAGGUAACACUCAGGCCCUCUCUCUAGGGUGAGAAGAGGCCUAGUAGCUUCUGCUGCCUCAGCAGCUUUUGUGGGGGGUCAUAAUUGGCCUUUCCCCUUUCGUCCAGACACUGGUGACAUCAGCAUGGAGAGUCUCCACCUACCCUCUACUCUGGGUCUGUGACCUUUGCCCUGGAGAGUGGAGGGGGCUGCCUCAAAUGCUUCUUAAAACCUGGGUUGUCCUUUCUGGCUUCAAUCCCUACAUGAGCCAUUUCAUCUGCCAGGUUCCGGGUCAGUGAGCUGGUCAGCACAAGCGUCAGAGAUCAGCCAUUGUGGCCAGUGAUCCUGAACUGUCUUUCU